AAUAGAUACCCAGGUAGUCCACCCCGUAAACGUUGGGAACUAGUUGUGGGGUCCUUUCCACGGAUUCCGUGACGCAGCUAACGCAUUAAGUUCCCCGCCUGGGGAGUACGGCCGCAAGGCUAAAACUCAAAGGAAUUGACGGGGACCCGCACAAGCGGCGGAGCAUGCGGAUUAAUUCGAUGCAACGCGAAGAACCUUACCAAGGCUUGACAUACACCAGAACACCCUAGAAAUAGGGGACUCUUUGGACACUGGUGAACAGGUGGUGCAUGGUUGUCGUCAGCUCGUGUCGUGAGAUGUUGGGUUAAGUCCCGCAACGAGCGCAACCCUCGUUCUAUGUUGCCAGCACGUAAUGGUGGGAACUCAUGGGAUACUGCCGGGGUCAACUCGGAGGAAGUGGGGAUGACGUCAAAUCAUCAUGCCCCUUAUGUCUUGGGCUUCACGCAUGCUACAAUGGCCGGUACAAAGGGCUGCAAUACCGUGAGGUGGAGCGAAUCCCAAAAAGCCGGUCCCAGUUCGGAUUGAGGUCUGCAACUCGACCUCA
rnacentral:rRNA from 1 species